rnacentral:misc_RNA from 1 species
AUGAAGAACGUAGCGAAAUGCGAUAAGUAAUGUGAAUUGCAGAAUUCAGUGAAUCAUCGAAUCUUUGAACGCACAUUGCGCCCGCCAGUAUUCUGGCGGGCAUGCCUGUUCGAGCGUCAUUUCAACCAUCAAGCCCCAGGCUUGUGUUGGGGACCUGCGGCUGCCGCAGGCCCUGAAAACCAGUGGCGGGCUCGCUGUCACACCGGGCGUAGUAGAUUUUAUCUCGCUCAGGGCGUGCUGCGGGUUCCGGCCGUUAAAAAGCCUUUUUUACCCAAGGUUGACCUCGGAUCAGGUAGGAAUACCCGCUGAACUUAAGCAUAUCAAUAAGCGGAGGA